rnacentral:tRNA from 1 species
GGCGGUGUAGCUCAGCUGGUAGAGCAGGCGGUUCAUACCCGCUAUGUCGGGGGUUCGAGUCCCUCCACCGCCACCA